GACGAACGCUGGCGGCGUGCUUAACACAUGCAAGUCGAACGGAAAGGCCCUGCUUUUGUGGGGUGCUCGAGUGGCGAACGGGUGAGUAACACGUGAGUAACCUGCCCUUGACUUUGGGAUAACUUCAGGAAACUGGGGCUAAUACCGGAUAGGAGCUCCUGCUGCAUGGUGGGGGUUGGAAAGUUUCGGCGGUUGGGGAUGGACUCGCGGCUUAUCAGCUUGUUGGUGGGGUAGUGGCUUACCAAGGCUUUGACGGGUAGCCGGCCUGAGAGGGUGACCGGCCACAUUGGGACUGAGAUACGGCCCAGACUCCUACGGGAGGCAGAAGUGGGGAGUAUGUCACAAUGGGCGGAAGCCUGAUGCAGCGACGCCGCGUGCGGGAUGACGGCCUUCGGGUUGUAAACCGCUUUCGCCUGUGACGAAGCGUGAGUGACGGUAAUGGGUAAAGAAGCACCGGCUAACUACGUG
rnacentral:rRNA from 1 species